rnacentral:rRNA from 1 species
AUGGCUGCCGCUGCCAGGUCGCUCCUCCGCUCCUCCGUUUACAUUCUCCACGCUACUCCAGCGACACCGUCAUCCCUCAGCCUAGGUGUGCGUCCUUCCGUCCGCCACGCGUUGGCUGCGCCCCUUCGCAUCGUAAGGUUGCCCGUGGAGGCGAGCGUCUGCCUCGAGUCGCUGCUGCCGCUGCACAGCGCCACCGGCGCCGCGAGGAUCAAGUCCAAGCUCGACGCCGGGCCCGGCCAGGGCCUCGGCUGGCUCAUUGAAGAUAAUUGA